CCUUUUAGAUGCAGCAGAAGCACCUUAGUACUUGCCUUUUGCACAGGCACGGCUUUCUUCUUGGAGAAGGAAAAAAGGCCAUUUUCACAGUGAAACUUGCUUUAUUCGUCGUAAGAAUAACGGGUCUGGCCACGAGGAAAGCACGAGGAAGCCCUUCCAGAAGGAGCAGAAACAGAUGUACCUAACAAGAGCUGCCUCACGAGCCUUCCAAGCAUCACAUCCCACCUUGCUGUUGGGUCGAUGGGAGUUUUGAGGUAGGAGAGAGACGUGCCGGCGCCUCGCCGGCUGUGUGACACGGGAUGAAUGAAUGAAUGCUG
rnacentral:lncRNA from 1 species